AUCCAGCUGACGAGUCUCAAAUAGGAUGAAACCUGGAU
rnacentral:hammerhead_ribozyme from 1 species